AAUAAUAUCCUAUAGAGAUAUGAAAAGCGAACAGUACCGUAAAAUAACUCACCUUGACUUAUACAUAUUUUAUUAUCAUUAUCGGAUGAAGAAACAAUGGUUGCAAUUCCUAUAUUGAAAAAAUUAGCUACAAAAAAGUGUUCCUAGAAAGUUUCUUACCAGUAUGAAUAAACGUUGAAUAUAAAUCGGGAUGUAACAGCAGAGCGGGUGAGCCAGAGAAUUCAUAAAAACUAAGAUCUUGCACUAUUUUCGUUAUUGAUCUAAUUGCUUCUUCAGAGGCGUCUUCUACUGGCAACAAAAUAUCUAACUAAGUUUUAUUAUUAGGAUUAAGAUAUAAGCGGAUCUAC